rnacentral:rRNA from 1 species
GACGAACGCUGGCGGCGUGCCUAAUACAUGCGAGUUGAGCGCUGAAGGUUGGUACUUGUACCAACUGGAUGAGCAGCGAACGGGUGAGUAACGCGUGGGGAAUCUGCCUUUGAGCAGGGGACAACAUUUGGAAACGAAUGCUAAUACCGCAUAAAAACUUUAAACACAAGUUUUAAGUUUGAAAGAUGCAAUUGCAUCACUCAAAGAUGAUCCCGCGUUGUAUUAGCUAGUUGGUGAGGUAAAGGCUCACCAAGGCGAUGAUACAUAGCCGACCUGAGAGGGUGAUCGGCCACAUUGGGACUGAGACACGGCCCAAACUCCUACGGGAGGCAGCAGUAGGGAAUCUUCGGCAAUGGACGAAAGUCUGACCGAGCAACGCCGCGUGAGUGAAGAAGGUUUUCGGAUCGUAAAACUCUGUUGGUAGAGAAGAACGUUGGUGAGAGUGGAAAGCUCACCAAGUGACGGUAACUACCCAGAAAGGGACGGCUAACUACGUG